GACGAACGCUGGCGGCGUGCCUAAUACAUGCAAGUAGAACGCUGAGGACUGGUGCUUGCACCGGUUCAAGGAGUUGCGAACGGGUGAGUAACGCGUAGGUAACCUACCUCAUAGCGGGGGAUAACUAUUGGAAACGAUAGCUAAUACCGCAUGACAAUGGAGGACCCAUGUCUUUCAUUUAAAAGGUGCAACUGCAUCACUAUGAGAUGGACCUGCGUUGUAUUAGCUAGUUGGUGGGGUAACGGCCUACCAAGGCGACGAUCAGUAGCCGACCUGAGAGGGUGACCGGCCACAUUGGGACUGAGACACGGCCCAA
rnacentral:rRNA from 1 species